rnacentral:misc_RNA from 1 species
AAAUAACUAGCUUUUUUUUUUUUUCAAACAGCUUACAGUUUUAAGCCAUAAACUUGUUAACUAAAUUAAUACCCUAUAUUAAUGGAACUCGAUACUAAAAUCCCAAUAAUACUACCAAUAAAACAGAAUUUAUUAAUAACAUAGUACGAUUGCCAGAACUCCAGAGUGAUAAUUAAAAGAUUGUGAAAUUUCAAUUAGCUUGGACUGGCGUUUAGGCAUUUUCACAUCACGUGUAAAGUAUCAAUUAUAGAAUGUGUAUAUAUUGAGUUUAUAUGAGAAUAAAGCCUAUCAAAAUUGUCAUAAUUUAAGCAGUAAUUCAUUCCUACCGUAUUUUCACAUAUUCAAAGAAAAAAAAAGGAGUGCUAAUCAAAAGAAAGAAAAAAAAAAAAGCUACUGCAGGCCUUCCCACAUUAAAUAAUCAAAAUUAAUGAAACAAAUCUAAUAAAUAAACCUGCGUUAGAAAGCACAAGAAUGCAUAAAUCUAACUCUGAAAUUCCAAGCCAUGAUAUGUCUAAACCUUUUCACACUUAGAACCAUAAAUUAAUUUCCCGCAAUCACCAGAUGAAAUCCAAAAUACCAUGAAUGAAAGCAACGUAUCAUCACAAAUUCCCGUUUCUAACAUGAAUAAUUAGUUCUAAAAAAAAUAAACACCACAAAAUUCAAUCUGUCACCUAUUCUAAUUUCAACAAAACCAACUAAAGAGAGGUUUCCUGAGGUUUAGAGGAGGCAGAGGAGAGUCUAAUUUGGUCUCAUCGGUGCUAUGAAAGCAAAAAUUGAUAAUGAAUAGAUUUGGUAAUCCGAAGGGCUACCUUUUUCCUUUUCUUUCUUGUUGUUUUACUUGGCUGAAAUAGAGACUGGGAAAGAGUUUCACGGUGGCUAGAGAGGCAAACAGAGGAUUGAAAAAGACAAAUGGACGCUGCAUAAGAUGUUAGGGGCGAGGGGACAGCAGCUGCCCCUGUUUAUCUCCUAUAGAUAUUGGGUCUCUAAGAAUGAAAGGGGCGACAGCUAACUUCUUGAAGCCCUGCAGCUUCUAAGCAGGUGAAAGAUAGCUGUUGAGGAUGAGUUCUUUGUCAAAAAUUGGGAGGUUGAUUUGCCGUGCUUUCCCUCUCUCUCUCUCUCUAUUGCUUUUUUUCUCUCCCAAAUUUCUAGUAUUUUAGAUCAGAAUAACUAUUUUCCCUUGCCGGCGUUUUCCCUUAAUGAGCGUGAAGUGAGAGAAAGUGUGCACAAUAUAUAUAGAUAAAGGAAAGGAAACGAAAUUAAGAUACCUUCUUUGCCAUUUCUGUAGAAAGAUGAAAAAUGAUUUCGAAGAGUUGUGUAAAUCGAAAGGAAAUGUUUCAGUGCAUUUAUAGAAGAAGGGAUGUGACUUGUAGAUUGAUUGAUUUAGUUUAAUUAGUUAUAUUUUCCACGUUAUUGUUCAAAGCCACCAAGAAAAGAAAACAUUUUCCAUGAGAAAAUUCUAAUUUUUUAGAUAUUGAAUCAGACACUUUCACCAAUUAAAGAAAUCAAAUGAUUGAACAUCUUUAGCUCGUAAGUCCUUCUCUGUUUCUUCCAAUUACACUCU